GACGAGGUGGCCCGAGUGGUUUAAAGCGAUGGACUGCUAAUCCAUUGUGCUUUUUGCACGCGUGGGUUCGAAUCCCAUCCUCGUCG